rnacentral:pre_miRNA from 1 species
AUCAUUCUGUAUCCGUUCUGAGAUUUCGACACACACCAGACCACAAGGGCUGAUGAAACUCUCGAGAUAAGUGAAGUU